rnacentral:rRNA from 1 species
UACGGAGGGGGCUAGCGUUGUUCGGAAUUACUGGGCGUAAAGCGCACGUAGGCGGCUUUGUAAGUUAGAGGUGAAAGCCCGGAGCUCAACUCCGGAAUUGCCUUUAAGACUGCAUCGCUUGAACAUCGGAGAGGUGAGUGGAAUUCCGAGUGUAGAGGUGAAAUUCGUAGAUAUUCGGAAGAACACCAGUGGCGAAGGCGGCUCACUGGACCGGCAUUGACGCUGAGGUGCGAAAGCGUGGGGAGCAAACAGG